UACGUAGGGGGCGAGCGUUGUCCGGAUUUAUUGGGCGUAAAGAGCUCGUAGGCGGCUGUUCGAGUCGGGUGUGAAAUCCCUCAGCUUAACUGGGGAACUGCGUCUGAUACUGGUUGGCUCGAGUGCAGGAGAGGAACGCGGAAUUCCAGGUGUAGCGGUGAAAUGCGUAGAUAUCUGGAGGAACACCGGUGGCGAAGGCGGCGUUCUGGACUGCAACUGACACUGAAAAACGAAAGCCAGGGGAGCAAACGGG
rnacentral:rRNA from 1 species